AUGGAUCCAGGCGGCGCCGCCGCCGCCAAGCUUGCGGUGUGGUGCUGGAUGUGGGGGAUGCACGACAACUCGGACGACGCGGGCGACGGCAAUAAGCAGUUNNNNNNNNNNNNNNNNNNNNNNNNNNNNNNNNNNNNGCGUAUGCCCGGGGAGUUUGGAAGCCACUUGAUGAAUAUAACCCCUGAGUCUGAUCUUGUCAAACUUGUAGCUCACGACGAACCUAUUUCUGACUCUAAUCAAUGUGAAGCAAAUGGGGGUUCAGCGAGCGAUACUGAUAUGCAACUUGAAGUGACCUUGAGCACCUUGGCUAUUCAAUUCUUUUGCCGCUUUUAUGAGAAUGUCCACAUGCGUGGUUUGACUUGGCAGGAUGAUGAGUAUAUGCAAUGGGUCUCUGGAUACCAUCACAUAGAGCGAACCAAAGGCCUUUCUGCCAGGUUUAUGAAUGAGCUCAUUGGAGUUGGAUGCUACUCUUAUUUCCCCUUUGGACCAUUUGGGCCAGGAAGCACUGUGAUCACUAUUCCUGAAAGUGCAUGGGCUGAAAUUUCUGUUGGGCUUCAGAGCAUGCUCAUAACUAUGCUUGACUCUUUUCUUCGGCCUGAACAUUCCAAUGCUAUGGGCUUGAAUAAUUCUGCUUGUACUUUACCACCUGAAUCUGUAUGUGUGUUGGUUGAUGUUGCAGUGUCUUCAAGUGUGUUGGCCGAUGUUGCAGUGUCUGACACUUCUAUGUUUGAUGCUGCUAUGCCGGAAUUUGCUACAGUGUCUGAAGGUGUGAUGGCUGCUGCUGUAGUAUCUAAUACUGCAGUGUCUGAUGGUAUUAUGGCUACUGCUGCAGUGUCUGAUACUGCAGUAUCUGCACGUGUUUUGAACUCUACUGCAGUGCCUGAUGUUAUGACUGAUAUCCAUGAAGCUGCCGGUGGCAAUACUGUUAAGAAGAGGAGCAGAUCAGAGGUUGCGGUGGUGACUGAACAUGGUCGAGGACCGCACAGUGACAAGGAGGGAUGUGCGCCAAUGGAGCUCCCAUCUGAGAAUCCUAAAAGGAAGAAAUCUUCUGUUGUGAUGACCACAGGCCAACAGUGCCUUCAGAUUUCAGCAGUGCAGCAAAUGGGGGUUGAACAGUGUGGUAUUGAAGUCUGUUCCAACAAUCUCAUGGGACCUUCUCAGCGUCCCUAUAUUCUACCCAAGAAGACAACUCUACCUAGUGAAUUGGAGAAAAAAGUAAAGGAGAAAGUCAAGACUAUUCAAUCUAAACUUCCCAUCUUCGUGAGAGAGUUGAAAACAUACUCUGUUGUUGGCACAGGCCAAGGAGGAUGUGCUCUGGUCUUUUGCAAGGAAUUUGCUUCGGCAUGUGGCCUCCCGCACACAAAGAAAACAACCAUACAUCUUCAGCUGGAGGACAAAACGAAGGGGCCAUGGCCUGUCACGUUAAUCCGCAGUGAGCAUAACAGCAACCAGAGGUGGCUUACCACGGGGUGGAACAAAUUUGUCACGGACAAUGGCCUGAAGAAAGGAGAUGCCUGCCUCUUCCAGCCAGACAAGAGCAACAACACUCAGGGCCUUUCGAUGACUGUUUAUCUGAUUCGCAAGUCGUCGGAAAAGGAGCUGUAG
rnacentral:rRNA from 1 species